rnacentral:rRNA from 1 species
CCUACGGGGAGCAGCAGUGAGGAAUAUUGGUCAAUGGGCGAGAGCCUGAACCAGCCAAGUCGCGUGAGGGAAGAAUGUCCUAUGGAUUGUAAACCUCUUUUGUCAGGGAGCAAAGUCACCCACGUGUGGGUGUUGGAGAGUACCUGAAGAAAAAGCAUCGGCUAACUCCGUGCCAGCAGCCGCGGUAAUACGGAGGAUGCGAGCGUUAUCCGGAUUUAUUGGGUUUAAAGGGUGCGUAGGCGGGUUAUCAAGUCAGCGGUAAAAUCGUGGAGCUCAACUCCAUCCAGCCGUUGAAACUGAUGAUCGUGAGUGGGCGAGAAGUAUGCGGAAUGCGUGGUGUAGCGGUGAAAUGCAUAGAUAUCACGCAGAACUCCGAUUGCGAAGGCAGCAUACCGGCGCCCGACUGACGCUGAAGCACGAAAGCGUGGGUAUCGAACAGGAUUAGAUACCCUGGUAGUC